rnacentral:tRNA from 1 species
GUCCACGUAGCUCAGUCGGACAGAGCGCCGGGCUUCCAAACCGGGGGUCGGGAGUUCGAGUCUCCCCGUGGGCG